GGAAUAUUGGGCAAUGGUCGCAAGACUGACACAGCCAUGCCGCGUGCAGGAAGACGGCCCUCUGGGUUGUAAACUGCUUUUAUCUGGGAAGAAAAAGUCCAUGCGUGGAAAAUUGCCGGUACCGGAUGAAUAAGCACCGGCUAACUCCGUGCCAGCAGCCGCGGUAAUACGGAGGGUGCAAGCGUUGUCCGGAUUUAUUGGGUUUAAAGGGUGCGUAGGCGGCUGAAUAAGUCAGCGGUGAAAGACUUCGGCUUAACCGGAGCAGUGCCGUUGAUACUGUUUAGCUUGAGUGUUGGAGGGGUACAUGGAAUUGAUGGUGUAGCGGUGAAAUGCAUAGAUACCAUCAGGAACACCGAUAGCGAAGGCAUUGUACUGGCCAACAACUGACGCUGAGGCACGAAAGUGUGGGGAUCGAACAGGAUUAGAUACCCUGGUAGUCCACACCGUAAACGAUGAUUACUCGCUGUUAUGGUGUAUGCUGUAGCGGCCAAGCGAAAGCGUUAAGUAAUCCACCUGGGGAGUACGCCGGCAACGGUGAAACUCAAAUGAAUUGACGG
rnacentral:rRNA from 1 species